CCCUUCAACUAUUAUUGAAUUGAGUGAGAAGCCAGGUUCCCGGGAGCACAACCUGGAGACAAAAAUUUCCUUUAUUAGUAUUAGAGUAUUUUUGUGCUAAAUCUGCAUGUGCAUAAACAUAUAGUGUUCGCGAUCUAGCUGACCAUGGUUUUAAAUUCAAGGAAUAAUGUCUGUCAACCAUAUGUUGUUGCACCCAUAGUGGGACAUGGGUGUUAAGGUUUCCUUCAAAUGUUAAUCAAUAGCAAAUCUUCAUUCAAACAAAUUUCCUGCAGCUGUUUAACAUUGGGUCAUUCCAGAGAACAUCCAUACCACCCCCACGGAGG